GACGAACGCUGGCGGCGUGCUUAACACAUGCAAGUCGAACGAGUGGCGAACGGGUGAGUAACACGUGGGUGAUCUGCCUUGCACUUCGGGAUAAGCUUGGGAAACUGGGUCUAAUACCGGAUAUUGCAAGAUGAGCUCGCGGGCUAUCAGCUUGUUGGUGGGGUAAUGGCUACCAGGGUGCGACGGGUAGCCGGCCUGAGAGGGUGUACGGCCACAUUGGGACUGCGAGACGUCCCAGAAGCCUACGGGAGGCAGCAGUGGGGAGUAUUGCAGAAUGGGCGGAAGCCUGAUGCAGCGACGCCGCGUGGGGGAGGAAGGCCUUCGGGUUGUAAACACCUUUCGACAGGGACGCGGUACCUGUAUAAGAAGCACCGGCUAACUACGUGCCAGCAGCCGCGGUAAUAC
rnacentral:rRNA from 1 species